GGGAGUAUAACUCAAAUGGUAGAGUGUAUGUUUUGCAUACAUACGGUUAUUGGUUCAAGUCCGAUUACUUCCA
rnacentral:tRNA from 1 species